GACGAACGCUGGCGGCGUGCUUAACACAUGCAAGUCGAACGGAAAGGCCCUGCUUUUGUGGGGUGCUCGAGUGGCGAACGGGUGAGUAACACGUGAGUAACCUGCCCUUGACUUUGGGAUAACUUCAGGAAACUGGGGCUAAUACCGGAUAGGAGCUCCUGCUGCCUGGUGGGGGUUGGAAAGUUUCGGCGGUUGGGGCUGGACUCGCGGCUUAUCAGCUUGUUGGUGGGGUAGUGGCUUACCAAGGCUUUGACGGGUAGCCGGCCUGAGAGGGUGACCGGCCACAUUGGGACUGAGGUACGGCCCAGACUCCUACGGGAGGCAGCAGUGGGGAAUAUUGCACACUGGGCGGAAGCCUGAUGCAGCAACGCCGCGUGCGGGAUGACGGCCUUCGGGUUGUAAACCGCUUUCGCCUGUGACGAAGCGUGAGUGACGGUAAUGGGUAAAGAAGCACCGGCUAACUACGUG
rnacentral:rRNA from 1 species